UACGUAGGGGGCAAGCGUUAUCCGGAUUUACUGGGUGUAAAGGGAGCGUAGACGGCGCGGCAAGUCUGAAGUGAAAGGCAGGGGCUUAACCCCUGAACUGCUUUGGAAACUGCCAUGCUAGAGUGCUGGAGAGGUAAGUGGAAUUCCUAGUGUAGCGGUGAAAUGCGUAGAUAUCAGGAGGAACAUCGGUGGCGAAAGCGCUUUACUGGACCAUUAUUGACGCUGAGGAACGAAAGCCAGGGGAGCAAAUGGG
rnacentral:rRNA from 1 species